GCGCGGGGUGCGGCCAUGGCGGACGGUGCGGGAGCCGGCGCGGAGGGCCAGGCCUCGGGACCGGUCCGGGGCUCGAGUGGGGCGGGCGGCCCGGUCAAUCCCUCUUCUCUGUCUCCAGGAGACCCGCAGUUCAUCGCUCUCAUAGUGGAGCAGCUCAAGAGCCAGCCGUGGGCUGUUUGACAGCUUCCGCAGGGACUGCCUGGCCGAUGUGGAAACUAAGCCAACUUACCAGAACCUGAGGCAGAAGGUGGAUAAUUUUGUGUCAACACAUCUGGACAAUCAGGAAUGGAAUCCUGCAAUGAACAAUAACCAGUUGCGAAAUGGGCUGAGGCAGAGUGUGGUUCAGUCAGGCAUGUUGGAAGCAGGAGUGGACAGGAUCAUUUCCCAAGUGGUAGACACCAAACUAAACCAUAUCUUCAGGCCACAGAUAGAGCGAGCAAUCCAUGAGUUCCUGGCUGCCCAGAAAAAAGAAGCUGUGCCAGCUCCACCUCCAGAACCUGAAAGCCAGGAUCCUCCAGCACCAUCCCAAGAUGCUUCCUAAGAAUAUGCCUGAUACCUUUGGAAAGCUCUACUUACGAAAUGGAUUCCUGUUUCAUACGAAUAUAACUUUAGUCGACCGUGUCAUUACUGAUGUCAAGAUUUUGGCCUUGACUGUUGUGGUGUCCACUACGGAUGGAGAGCAAGUUUGGUGGUGGGACAGUUACCUGUACUUGCUUAUGGAUUGUGUUACCUUUGACCAGCCUGUCGAAGGGCGUGACCCCAGU